AAAGUUUGCCCGGCGUUAUACAGUCAAGCCUGAACGCAGAAGCACCAGCUUGCAUGGUGUGGAUGAGUGGCGAAGGGGCGUUUACGUGAGUACCUGCCCUUGACUCUGGGAUAGAAGGGAAACUGGGCUAUACUGGAUGCUCAUGUCACCGCAUGGUGGUGUGUGGAAAGGGUUUACUGGUUCCUUGGAUGGGCUCACGGCCUAUCAGCUUGUUGGUGAGGUAAUGGCUCACCAAGGCGACGACGGGUAGCCGGCCUGAGAGGGUGACCGGCCACACUGGGACUGAGACACGGCCCAGACUCCUACGGGAGGCAGCAGUGGGGAAUAUUGCACAAUGGGCGAAAGCCUGAUGCAGCGACGCCGCGUGAGGGAUGACGGCCUUCGGGUUGUAAACCUCUUUCAGCAGGGAAGAAGCCACAAGUGACGGUACCUGCAGAAGAAGCGCCGGCUAACUACGUGCCAGCAGCCGCGGUAAUACGUAGGGCGCAAGCGUUGUCCGGAAUUAUUGGGCGUAAAGAGCUCGUAGGCGGUUUGUCGCGUCUGCUGUGAAAGCCCGGGGCUUAACCCCGGGUGUGCAGUGGGUACGGGCAGACUAGAGUGCAGUAGGGGAGACUGGAAUUCCUGGUGUAGCGGUGGAAUGCGCAGAUAUCAGGAGGAACACCGAUGGCGAAGGCAGGUCUCUGGGCUGUUACUGACGCUGAGGAGCGAAAGCAUGGGGAGCGAACAGGAUUAGAUACCCUGGUAGUUCCAUGCCGUAAACGUUGGGCACUAGGUGUGGGGGACAUUCCACGGUUUUCCGCGCCGUAGCUAACGCCAUUAAGGUGCCCCCGCCCUGGGGGAGUACGGGCCGCGCAAAGGCC
rnacentral:rRNA from 1 species